UCACACCCGUUCCCAUCCCGAACACGGAAGUUAAGCUCUUCAGCGCCGAUGGUAGUUGGGGGUUUCCCCCUGCAAGAGUAGGACGUCGCCAGGC
rnacentral:rRNA from 1 species